GAUGAACGCUAGCGAUAGGCCUAACACAUGCAAGUCGAGGGGCAUCACAUGAAGUAGCAAUACGGAUGGUGGCGACCGGCGCACGGGUGAGUAACACGUAUGCAACCUGCCUUCAACAAGGGGAUAACCCGUUGAAAGACGGACUAAUACCCUAUAACACAGGGGUCCCGCAUGGGAAUAUUUGUUAAAGGACAACCGGUUGAAGAUGGGCAUGCGUUCCAUUAGCUAGUUGGCGGGGUAACGGCCCACCAAGGCAACGAUGGAUAGGGGAACUGAGAGGUUUAUCCCCCACACUGGUACUGAGACACGGACCAGACUCCUACGGGAGGACAGCAGUGAGGAAUAUUGGUCAAUGGACGCAAGUCUGAACCAGCCACGUCGCGUGAAGGAAGACGGCCCUACGGGUUGUAAACUUCUUUUAUACGGGAAUAAAGUGCCCCACGCGUGGGGUUUUGCAUGUACCGUAUGAAUAAGGAUCGGCUAACCCCGUGCCAGCCAGCCGCGGUAAGU
rnacentral:rRNA from 1 species